rnacentral:lncRNA from 1 species
GAUUAAGCCCUGCGGGAAGGAGGAGGGGAACCAACACGCCCACUUGCACCUGUACUCCAGGGGAAAGGAGUUGCAAGGAAUUAGAGGGAAACAACCAGCAAAUACGAGGUUUUUCAGCCGUGACCGAGGCAUUUAUGGAGCUAAGUGAUGCUGGAGGAGCUAAUUGAGGUGCUCGUGGGUCAGGGGUUUCAGGACUGCAGGGUGCUGGCUGGGGCAGGGGCUCCCUGUGGCUGAGGAGCAUCGAGGUGUGUGGGACCCCCGAGCUUGGCACCCCCAACGUUACGGGGUCAGCUCAGCUGUGCUGGUGGGGCUGGGGAACACGCAGGUGCCCCGGGGUCACACGUUGUCCCUCAGCAGGACAAAAUGCCUUUCAAGGCGGCGAGGAGAGCUCGGGCUGCCUGGGAGGGGUCUGGGCUCUGCGGCGCCUCCGUGGGUGCAGGAACUGAGCCUGGAGCCAGGGGGGCGCAGAGAAGGUGCCCUGGCUGCGAUGAGCCAUGAACUGGGGCACUUCCAGAGUCUGAAGGUCCCCUUUUUGCAGCCAGGUGCUGAGAUCAAAACUGCAGCAAGCAAGCCCAAGGGCAGGCGGUGAACAGCAUGGAGAGGCCAGGAGCCAGCAGGGCAGCGGCACAGGGACACCCUAAAAAAGUCCCUGUCCCAUGCAGGACUGGGACCCCCCUCCCCGCCUCCAGAAGCAGGAGCUGUGGCUGUGCCAGGAGCAUGGAGCAGGAGCUGGGUGCCCGCAGACCCCCACUUUGCAUGUUACCGGGGACUUCAUGAAUUAUGCAGCCGCCACAGCACGGCAGGACAAAUCAGCUGCAACACGCAAGCACUAAAAAGCGUAUUUAUCUUUGCGUCCUAUUGAUUUAUUUUCCUCUCCUGUUUUUCAAGCUCAGGAAGCUGCAGUGAGGAUGGGAAAACAAGCCAGGCAUUUGGGGGGCUCCUGGAGUCCGAUGGGUUCCCCCUGCUAACCGAGCAGUCCCAAUGGGUUUCUCCACUUCCAGGCUGAAGCCCCAAAGCUCAGCGCUGCCUUGGAGAGAGCGAAGUCCUCUGAGCAGCCUGGUGCUUGUUUCGAUGGAGCAGGAGCCUGGGAAUAUUGCAGAGAAGACGGGAUGAGCAGGAUCCACCAAGGCGUGCACAGCCCAGGGGCUCCAAAGGCUCCGUGGUUGCUCCUGGCAUCUGUCCCUCUGCCCCCUGCCCCUGCUUUUUGGGCUCCAGAGGCAAACAGGUGUCACGUGUGUGUGAGCAUCAGAGCCACAGCAGUUAAGGGAGUGAUCUGCAGCUGGUUCUGGAGCACCGGGGUGCUCCCUGCUUUGCC